rnacentral:rRNA from 1 species
CGGGUGGCUGCAGCAGUGAGGAAUAUUGCACAAUGGGGGGAACCCUGAUGCAGCAACGCCGCGUGGAGGAUGACGCAUUUCGGUGUGUAAACUCCUUUUAUAUGUCAAGAAAAUGACGGUAGCAUAUGAAUAAGCACCGGCUAACUCCGUGCCAGCAGCCGCGGUAAUACGGAGGGUGCAAGCGUUACUCGGAAUCACUGGGCGUAAAGGACGCGUAGGCGGGUUGGAAAGUCAGGUGUGAAAUCCUACAGCUUAACUGUAGAACUGCACUUGAAACUUCUAAUCUAGAGUAUGGGAGGGGGAGAUGGAAUUAGUGGUGUAGGGGUAAAAUCCGUAGAUAUCACUAGGAAUACCUAAAGCGAAGGCGAUCUCCUGGAACAUUACUGACGCUAAGGCGUGAAAGCGUGGGGAGCAAACAGGAUUAGAUACCCCUGUAGUC